rnacentral:rRNA from 1 species
AACGAACGCUGGCGGCAGGCCUAACACAUGCAAGUCGAACGCUCCGCAAGGAGAGUGGCAGACGGGUGAGUAACACGUGGGAAUCUUCCUGUUGGUUCGGAAUAGCUCAGGGAAACUUGGGGUAAUACCGGAUAAGCCCGAGAGGGGAAAGAUUUAUCGCCGACAGAUGAGCCCGCGUCUGAUUAGCUAGUUGGUGAGGUAAUGGCUCACCAAGGCGACGAUCAGUAGCNGGUCUGAGAGGAUGACCAGCCACACUGGGACUGAGACACGGCCCAGACUCCUACGGGAGGCAGCAGUGGGGAAUAUUGGACAAUGGCGCAAGCCUGAUCCAGCCAUGCCGCGUGAGUGACGAAGGUCUUCGGAUUGUAAAGCUCUUUUGCCAGGGACGAUAAUGACGGUACCUGGAGAAUAAGCCCCGGCUAACUUCGUGCCAGCCGCCGCCGUAAC